AUGGCGGGUCAGGGAGAGAUCGCGCAUGAUGUUUUGGGGAAGAAACCAGCGAGUGGAGAAGGUUCGAGGGAUGGGGGCCGUCCUCUUGUCAUUGACAUGGAGGCUGCUCACAAGGCCAUCAGCAGCUUCCUGGUGGUUGGACGCCUCCUCUCCCCUUUCCAGGCCAAUCCGAGGGCCAUCCUCGAUGAUCUCCGGAACACGGCUUGGAAGAACCAAGGGGUGACCACCCUCCAAGAGGUGACAGCGAUGACGGGAGGUUCAUCCUCAAUUUCACCUCUGAGAGUGACCGUUGGUUCGUGCUUAAGGCGCAGCCUUGGCACUUUAAUCGGGAUGGGCUCAUCUUCGCCGAGUUCGACGGCAACGGUGACCCGGUAG
rnacentral:rRNA from 1 species